AUUCCGAAUUCAGUGUAUUAUGGUGAUAAUGAAUUUUCUGGUUGCGAACAGAUAGCGGAGGGUUUUGCCCCAGUUUUUUUCACCUGUCUACAAUACUAAUAUAAAUAAAAAUAACAAUUAUUAUAUGGGGGUCAACAGAAAUCCCUUGGCUCAGCACUCUUUCCGUCAUUAUGAAAGCUUAGUUUUGUGGUACCAAUAUUUAAAUCAGAUGAUAAUGACCAAAUAGGCAACUAUAGGGGCGUUUGCAUCCAGUCGGCCAUUCCAAAACUGUUGGACAGUCUUACCUACGACCAAAUUUUUUGUUGCUCAAUCAGCAGCAUGGGUUUAGUUCGGGCAGAUCACUAACUUGUUGAUCUAUCAGCAGGAUCUGUUGGAUGCCUUGGAGAGGGGAUGUCCGAUGGAUGUGAUUUAUACAGACUUCUCCAAGGCUUUUGAUAGAGUCGAUCACAGAAUCUUGCAGGAGAAACUUAGAGUGUUUGGUUUCUCCAAUCAUAUCAUGUGUCCCAAGGCAUGUAUGAUUUGGGGUGGUUAAAAAUACCUUAUCUAUAUAAGUUUUUGUACUGCACCUUAGUAUAUCGCCUUUAUAAGUCCAAAGCUCCGAUAUAUUUAUUUGAGAAAUUUAUACCUAGAAAUCAUGUACAUGCUCGAAAUAUUAGGCAUAACACUUUGACUAUGCCACAUCACUCAAUGGCUCUCUUUGAACGAUCAUUCACUUACAACGCAGUCAAAUUUGUGAAUGUCUUUAGGCCUGAUUUUAGCAAUGGCCUGUAUGUUUUUUAAAAACAUUUCAAGAACCUGUUUUUACAGGAAUCAUUUAGGUAAAUCAAAAGAUUUCCUUAUUUCUGUUAAAUGAAUAUUGUUUUUUUUUUUUCUAUUGAUUUAUGUUUGUUUAUUUUUUUUUUCUGUAAUUUAAGAAGGUUAAGAGUUUAAGAGUAGCUUUCAGCUAAUCUUCACCUUCAAAGGCAAAACUAUGUAAAACUAUGUAUUUGCUAAAUAAAGGCGCUUUAUUAUUAUUAUUAUUAUAUAGUUGCCUGGUUCACAAGCUUCUUGUCAGGCCGGACUCAGCAGGUUAGAUUGGGUAGUGUUAGAUCCAGCAAUAUCAAUGUAUGUUCUGGUGUACCUCAGGGUGGACACUGCUCACCAUUGCUCUUUAACAUGUUCAUUAAUGAUAUGGCUACAUGUUUUGAAAAUAGUGCCUUUUUAUUGUUUGCAGAUGACCUGAAAUUUUAUAGAGUAAUCCAGACUCCCAAAGACCAAAUUUUGUUACAGAAUGACCUGAAUAGGCUAAAUGAUUGGUGUGUCAACAAUAUCUUAUUCUUAAACAUAAAGAGAUAUUAGUUUUCACAAAAGAUGUAAGAAAGUUGUAACAUCAUACAAUAUAGAGGGAAGCCCUGUUCAGUAUUCUGAUACAAUUAAGGAUCUUGGCAUUUAUUUUGACGAUCAUUUAAAUUUUAAUAUACACAUGAAUAAUAUAGUGGUUAGAUCCUCCAGGCUUCUGGGCUUUGUUCUGCGUAACUGUAGAGAGCUAUCAGUCGAGACCUGUAAGAGAGUAUAAAUGUCUUUGGUGGUUUCUUUAUUGGAGUAUAGCUCAAUGAUAUGGUCCCACUAUUACAUGAACAGCUGUGUGGCCCUUGAAAGGAUUUAGAAUAAGUUUUUGAGAUAUUGUCUAUUUAAAUUAAAUUUGGAAAUACCGAACGAUCAUGUUUAUGAUGAUGCACGGGAAGUGCUGGCUAUGACAACAUUGAGAGAAAGACGUAUUCGUGGUGAUUUAACCUUCUUAAUGGUCAGAUUGUAUGCCCCGACCUUCUCAACAGAAUUAGCUUCAGUGUCCUCUCAAGACUCUUGAGACGAAACCGACUAUUUGCUUUGCCUUUUCACAGUACCAACUAUGCCACUCACUCCCCUAUCAAAAGAACCUUAAAAUAUUAUCGACCAUGAGGAUAUUGAAGUUGUGGGCAUUGGCUUGUCUGUUUUAGGAAUCAAAUUAGAGAGAUUGUGUAAACUCUUCUGUUGAUUUUAUGUUGGUUUGCCUGUAAAAACAUAUUUGAAUUUUAGCUAUUUUAAGUUAUGGUUAGGUGUAACUCUUGAACUUUGUAAUAUUGUUUUUUUUGUAAUGGGGUUGAUCCCGUCUAUUGAAUAAAUAAAUAUAUAGCCUUAUACCCAUAAGUAUAUCUGAGGUGUUUAGGAGAUACAUGAUAACUCCAAAAAUACGUUUUUUAGUCUAAUAUUCCUUUUAUAUAAUCAUAAUCAUAAUCAUAAUUUUUAUUGAUGCCAGUAAUAUAAAUUUUACACAAAUUUUACAUAUGAAAUAUGAAAGGACUAUUCUGGAAAGUUGAGUUUUUUUAUUUAAAAUAAUUUUCAAAAUGUAAUUUUUUUAUGUCUUAAAGAUAAGCCAUGAUGUUUGUAGACAAUCCUUCGACAACAGAAAACGAAACAAAUCAGUCCAUUACAGAAAUCAAUAAUUCAAUAAGUUUAAAUAAAUAAUUCUUCUCAACCCUAGCCGUCUAAUCAGUAAGUGGUUCAAACACAAUCCAGAUAGAGUUGUCACCCAAUUUCAAAUUGGUUAUUUAUUUAACGAAGCCUAUUGCAAAGCCACAGCAGUGCAAAAUGCUAUCAAUGGAUUUGCAAAAAAUUGGAAUGGUUCCAUUCAACCCGGACAGUUUCCAGGACUAUAUCUAUUCAAAGUCAAUCUGAGUCUGACACAUACAGCCCAGCAGAGGACAAAGUAUGCUUGCAGUCACUCCAUUUAACCUAAACCCCUCUCCAGUAAGUCUAUUCAGU